ensembl:lncRNA
UUCUAUGUUGUUCUGUUCUAUUCUGUUCUAUUCUCUUUUGUUCUGUUCUAUUCUGUUCGGUUCUAUUUUGUUGUUCUAUUCUAUUCCGUUCUAUUCUAUCCAGUUUUCUAUUGGCCCAUGGAGAGACCAGUUGAGCAAACCCACAGCUUUUCCCCAAUCAUUUCGGGGUCUCUCGCUGUGACAUGACACGAGUUGGGACGCGAUGCAGAGUUGUAGAUGCAGAGUUGUAGAUGUAGAGUUGUAGAUGUAGAGAUGCAGAGUUGUAGAUGUAGAGUUGCAGAGUUGUAGAUGCAGAGAUGCAGAGUUGUAGAUGUAGAGUUGUAGAGUUGUAGAUGCAGAGUUGUAGAUGUAGAGAUGUAGAUGCAGAGAUGUAGAUGCAGAGAUGUAGAGAUGUAGAGAGUUGUAGAUGUAGAGAUAGAGUUGUAGAUGUAGAGUUGUAGAUGUAGAGAUAUAGAGUUGUAGAUGCAGAGUUGUAGAGUUGUAGAUGUAGAGAUGCAGAGUUGUAGAGUUGUAGAUGCAGAGUUGUAGAUGCAGAGAUGUAGAUGCAGAGAUGUAGAUGCAGAGAUGUAGAGAUGUAGAGAGUUGUAGAUGUAGAGUUGUAGAUGUAGAGAUAGAGUUGUAGAGUUGUAGAUGUAGAGAUAUAGAGUUGUAGAUGUAGAGUUGUAGAUGCAGAGUUGUAGAGUUGUAGAUGCAGAGUUUUAGAGUUGUAGAUGUAGAGAUGCAGAGUUGUAGAUGCAGAGUUGUAGAGUUGUAGAUGCAGAGUUGUAGAUGUAGAGUUGUAGAUGCAGAGAUGUAGAUGCAGAGUUGUAGAGAGUUGUAGAUGUAGAGAUAGAGUUGUAGAUGUAGAGAUAUAGAGUUGUAGAUGUAGAGUUGUAGAUGCAGAGUUGUAGAUGCAGAGUUGUAGAGAUGUAGAUGUAGAGUUCUAGAUGUAGAGUUGUAGAUGUAGAGAUAUAGAGAGUUGUAGAUGUAGAGUUGUAGAGAUGUAGACUUGUAGAUGUAGAGUUGUAGAGAGUAGAGAUAUAGAGUUGUAGAUGUAGAGAUAUAGAGUUGUAGAUGUAGAGUUGUAGAUGCAGAGUUGUAGAGUUGUAGAUGCAGAGUUGUAGAGUUGUAGUUGUAGAGUUGUAGAUGCAGAGUUGUAGAUGCAGAGAUGUAGAUGCAGAGAUGUAGAUGCAGAGAGUUGUAGAUGUAGAGAUAGAGUUGUAGAUGUAGAGUUGUAGAUGUAGAGAUAUAGAGUUGUAGAUGUAGAGUUGUAGAUGCAGAGUUGUAGAGUUGUAGAUGUAGAGAUGCAGAGUUGUAGAUGUAGAGAUGUAGAGUUGUAGAUGUAGAGUUGUAGAUGUAGAGUUGUAGAUGUAGAGUUGUAGAGAGUUGUAGAUGUAGAGUUGUAGAUGUAGAGAGUUUUAGAUCUAGAGAGUUGUAGAUGCAGAUGCAGAGAUGUAGAUGCAGAGAUGUAGAUGCAGAGGUAGAGAUGUAGAGUUGUAGAGAGUUGUAGAUGUAGAGAUGUAGAGUUGUAGAUGUAGAGAUGUAGAGAGUUGUAGAUGUAGAGUUGUAGAUGUAGAGAGUUGUAGAUGUAGAGAUGUAGAUGCAGAGUUGUAGAUGCAGAGUUGUAGAUGCAGAGAUGUAGAGUGUUGUAGAGUUGUAGAUGUAGAGAGUUGUAGAUGUAGAGAUGUAGAUGCAGAGUUGUAGAUGUAGAGUUGUAGAUGUAGAGAUAGAGUUGUAGAUGUAGAGUUGUAGAUGUAGAGAUAUAGAGUUGUAGAUGCAGAGUUGUAGAGUUGUAGAUGUAGAGAUGCAGAGUUGUAGAUGUAGAGAUGUAGAUGCAGAGAUGUAGAUGCAGAGUUGUAGAGAGUUGUAGAUGUAGAGUUGUAGAUGUAGAGAUAGAGUUGUAGAUGUAGAGAUAUAGAGUUGUAGAUGUAGAGUUGUUGAUGCAGAGUUGUAGAGAUGCAGAGUUGUAGAUGCAGAGUUGUAGAGUUGAAGAUGCAGAGUUGUAGAUGUAGAGAUGUAGAUGUAGAGUUGUAGAGUUGAAGAUGCAGAGUUGUAGAUGUAGAGAUGUAGAUGUAGAGUUGUAGAGAGUUGUAGAUGUAGAGAUGUAGAGUUGUAGAUGUAGAGAUGUAGAGUUGUAGAGAGUUGUAGAUGUAGUGAUGUAGAGAGUUGUAGAUGUAGAGAGUUGUAGAUGUAGAGUUGUAGAGAGUUGUAGAUGUAGAGUUGUAGAUGUAGAGAGUUGUAGAUGCAGAGAGUUGUAGAUGCAGAGUUUUGUAGAUGUAGAGAUGUAGAUGCAGAGUUGUAGAUGCAGAGUUGUAGAUGCAGAGUUGUAGAUGUAGAGUUGUAGAUGUAGAGAUAGAGUUGUAGAUGUAGAGAUAUAGAGUUGUAGAUGUAGAGAUGUAGAUGUAGAGUUGUAGAGAGUUGUAGAUGUAGAGAUGUAGAGUUGUAGAUGCAGAGUUGUAGAUGUAGAGAUGCAGAUGCAGAGUUGUAGAUGCAGAGAUGUAGAUGCAGAGAUGUAGAUGCAGUGUUGUAGAGAGUUGUAGAUGUAGAGAUGUAGAGUUGUAGAGAGUUGUAGAUGUAGAGUUGUAGAGUUGUAGAUGUAGAGAUGUAGAUAGAGUUUUGUAGAUGUAGAGAUGUAGAGUUGUAGAUGUAGAGAUGUAGAGUUGUAGAGAGUUGUAGAUGUAGUGAUGUAGAGAGUUGUAGAUGUAGAGAGUUGUAGAUGUAGAGUUGUAGAGAGUUGUAGAGUUGUAGAUUUGUAGAUGUAGAGUUGUAGAUGUAGAGAGUUGUAGAUGUAGAGUUGUAGAUGUAGAGUUGUAGAUGUAGAGAGUUGUAGAUGCAGAGUUGUAGAUGUAGAGUUGUAGAUGCAGAGUUGUAGAUGUAGAGUUGUAGAUGCAGAGAUGUAGAGUUGUAGAUGCAGAGUUGUAGAUGUAGAGAUGCAGAUGCAGAGUUGUAGA